GAAAAGACUUCAGCUCAACUGAAGAUAUUUUGGAGAGACUGCAAAUCUAGGGACCGGGUGAGGUUGAAUGUACUUCCGGGGUAGGGGUAAAAUCCUGUAAUCCUGGAAGGACGACCGGUGGCGAAGGCGUUCAACUAGAACGGAUCCGACGGUGAGGAACGAAGGCUAGGGGAGCAAACCGGAUUAGAUACCCGGGUAGUCCUAGCUGUAAACACUGCCCACUUGGUGUUGCAUCUCCGGUAAGGGGGUGCAGUGCCGUAGCGAAGGUGUUAAGUGGGCCGCUUGGGGAGUAUGGUCGCAAGGCUGAAACUUAAAGGAAUUGGCGGGAGAGCACCGCAACGGGAGGAGCGUGCGGUUUAAUUGGAUUCAACGCCGGAAAACUCACCGGAGGCGACCUAUGUAUGAGAGUCAACCUGAUGAGUUUACUCGAUAGUAGGAGAGGUGGUGCAUGGCCGUCGUCAGCUCGUACCGUAGGGCGUUCACUUAAGUGUGAUAACGAGCGAGACCCCCAUCUUCAAUUGCUAAUUCAAUCGUGAGGUUGGAAGAACUUUGAAGGGACCGCCAGCGCAGAGCUGGAGGAAGGAGGGGUCGACGGCAGGUCAGUACGCCCCGAAUCUUCCGGGCUACACGCGCGCUACAAAGGACAGGACAAUGGGCUGCGACCUCGAAAGGGGAAGCCAAUCCCGAAACCUGUUCGUAGUUAGGAUUGAGGGCUGUAACUCGCCCUCAUGAAUCUGGAUUCCGUAGUAAUCGCGGGUCAACAUCCCGCGGUGAAUAUGCCCCUGCUCUUU
rnacentral:rRNA from 1 species